rnacentral:lncRNA from 1 species
UAGGAGUGAUUGAGCACUAGGCUAGGGCUACUAUACUUUUAUGAGUAUAGAGCCCUUCAUACUCAUAAGUUGUUUUUAAUGAUGGAGCUUCCGAAUCGACGAUCCAUCCCGUUAAAUAUGAUAUAGAGUAUUUGAAACUCUUCUAGAAAAUAAAUUUCGUAAUUUUUCGAAAUCAUAAUAAAGUUCAUCAAGCGGGUAUAAUUAAAAUGAACAGUCAAAAUCGAAUGACGUCUUAAAAAUGGAUGUUCGGAUCCUUCAAUUUAUGAUCGGAGUUAUUAAUCUUUAUCUACGUAGUGAAUAGAAUUUUCUAUCAAAAAUUCAACCGAUUUCGAUUCUUUUACACCGUUAAACUGGCAAAUAUCUUAUACCGGCCACCAAAAAUUGUUAAUUUUGUGACCUUUUGAUCGUAAGGUAAAUGAUGUCGAAAAAUUAUAAAAUUUGAUGUCGAAAAAUUAUAAAAUUUGAUUUCUAAACGUUUUAAAUGUUCUAGAUAACGUUAACGGUGUGAAAGCUCUAACAUCGGAAAUAAUUUAUGAAUAUGAGUGUAACGACCCAGCACACUAGUAACAAUAACUCGUUGGGCCCAACCACCAGCCCAAAAUGCUUAAGCCCAGUUAUUAUUACUAGUGUCUAAGUCUCUUAUAAACCCAAUGACAACCCCAUUCCCAUCCGAUGUGGGAUUAUUGGGGUGUCACAUACUAAAUGUAACGACCCAGCCCACUAGCAACAAUAACUCGUCGGGCCCAACAACCGGCCCAAAAUGCUUAAGUCCAGUUAUUAUUAUUAGUGUCUAAGUCUCUUAUAAACCCAAUGACAACCCCAUUCCCAUCCGAUGUGGGACUAUUGGGGUGUCACAACGAGAGCGAUCGUAUUCAUAAGAAUAUAGUAGCCGGAUUCGUGAGCACUAUAUGUUAUUUGAACCGAAC